rnacentral:rRNA from 1 species
AGCGUACACGGUGGAUGCCCUGGCAGUCAGAGGCGAUGAAGGACGUGCUAAUCUGCGAAAAGCGCCGGCGAGGUGAUAUGAACCCUUGACCCGGCGAUGUCCGAAUGGGGAAACCCAGUGCAAUCCGUUGCACUAUCGUUAACUGAAUACAUAGGUUAACGAGGCGAACCGGGGGAACUGAAACAUCUAAGUACCCCGAGGAAAAGAAAUCAACCGAGAUUCCCCCAGUAGCGGCGAGCGAACGGGGAGCAGCCCGGAGUCUGAAUCAGCUUGUGUGUUAGUGGAACGGUCUGGAAAGUCCGACGGUACAGGGUGAUAGUCCCGUACACGAAAGCACACUUGCUGUGAACUCGAAGAGUAGGGCGGGACACGUGGUAUCCUGUCUGAAUAUGGGGGGACCAUCCUCCAAGGCUAAAUACUCCUGACUGACCGAUAGUGAACCAGUACCGUGAGGGAAAGGCGAAAAGAACCCCGGCGAGGGGAGUGAAAAAGAACCUGAAACCGUGUACGUACAAGCAGUGGGAGCCUNGGUGACUGCGUACCUUUUGUAUAAUGGGUCAGCGACUUAUAUUCUGUAGCAAGGUUAACCGUAUAGGGGAGCCGAAGGGAAACCGAGUCUUAACUGGGCGUUAAGUUGCAGGGUAUAGACCCGAAACCCGGUGAUCUAGCCAUGGGCAGGUUGAAGGUUGGGUAACACUAACUGGAGGACCGAACCGACUAAUGUUGAAAAAUUAGCGGAUGACCUGUGGCUGGGGGUGAAAGGCCAAUCAAACCGGGAGAUAGCUGGUUCUCCCCGAAAGCUAUUUAGGUAGCGCCUCGUGAACUCAUCUUCGGGGGUAGAGCACUGUUUCGGCUAGGGGGCCAUCCCGGCUUACCAACCCGAUGCAAACUACGAAUACCGAAGAAUGUUAUCACGGGAGACACACGGCGGGUGCUAACGUCCGUCGUGAAGAGGGAAACAACCCAGACCGCCAGCUAAGGUCCCAAAGUCAUGGUUAAGUGGGAAACGAUGUGGGAAGGCACAGACAGCCAGGAUGUUGGCUUAGAAGCAGCCAUCAUUUAAAGAAAGCGUAAUAGCUCACUGGUCGAGUCGGCCUGCGCGGAAGAUGUAACGGGGCUAAACCAUGCACCGAAGCUGCGGCAGCGACACUAUGUGUUGUUGGGUAGGGGAGCGUUCUGUAAGCCGUUGAAGGUGGCCUGUGAGGGUUGCUGGAGGUAUCAGAAGUGCGAAUGCUGACAUAAGUAACGAUAAAGCGGGUGAAAAGCCCGCUCGCCGGAAGACCAAGGGUUCCUGUCCAACGUUAAUCGGGGCAGGGUGAGUCGACCCCUAAGGCGAGGCCGAAAGGCGUAGUCGAUGGGAAACAGGUUAAUAUUCCUGUACUUGGUGUUACUGCGAAGGGGGGACGGAGAAGGCUAUGUCAGCCGGGCGACGGUUGUCCCGGUUUAAGCAUGUAGGCGGAGGUUCCAGGUAAAUCCGGUACCUUUUAACGCUGAGGUGUGAUGACGAGGCACUACGGUGCUGAAGUGAUAAAUGCCCUGCUUCCAGGAAAAGCCUCUAAGCAUCAGGUAACACGAAAUCGUACCCCAAACCGACACAGGUGGUCAGGUAGAGAAUACCAAGGCGCUUGAGAGAACUCGGGUGAAGGAACUAGGCAAAAUGGUGCCGUAACUUCGGGAGAAGGCACGCUGAUGUGUAGGUGAAGCCCCUGCGGGCGGAGCUGAAAUCAGUCGAAGAUACCAGCUGGCUGCAACUGUUUAUUAAAAACACAGCACUGUGCAAACACGAAAGUGGACGUAUACGGUGUGACGCCUGCCCGGUGCCGGAAGGUUAAUUGAUGGGGUUAGCUGUAAGGCGAAGCUCUUGAUCGAAGCCCCGGUAAACGGCGGCCGUAACUAUAACGGUCCUAAGGUAGCGAAAUUCCUUGUCGGGUAAGUUCCGACCUGCACGAAUGGCGUAAUGAUGGCCAGGCUGUCUCCACCCGAGACUCAGUGAAAUUGAACUCGCUGUGAAGAUGCAGUGUACCCGCGGCAAGACGGAAAGACCCCGUGAACCUUUACUAUAGCUUGACACUGAACACUGGUCCUUGAUGUGUAGGAUAGGUGGGAGGCUUUGAAGCGUGGACGCCAGUCUGCGUGGAGCCAACCUUGAAAUACCACCCUUUAAUGGCUGGUGUUCUAACGUAGACCCGUAAUCCGGGUUGCGGACAGUGUCUGGUGGGUAGUUUGACUGGGGCGGUCUCCUCCCAAAGAGUAACGGAGGAGCACGAAGGUUGGCUAAUCCUGGUCGGACAUCAGGAGGUUAGUGCAAUGGCAUAAGCCAGCUUGACUGCGAGCGUGACGGCGCGAGCAGGUGCGAAAGCAGGUCAUAGUGAUCCGGUGGUUCUGAAUGGAAGGGCCAUCGCUCAACGGAUAAAAGGUACUCCGGGGAUAACAGGCUGAUACCGCCCAAGAGUUCAUAUCGACGGCGGUGUUUGGCACCUCGAUGUCGGCUCAUCACAUCCUGGGGCUGAAGUAGGUCCCAAGGGUAUGGCUGUUCGCCAUUUAAAGUGGUACGCGAGCUGGGUUUAGAACGUCGUGAGACAGUUCGGUCCCUAUCUGCCGUGGGCGCUGGAGAAUUGAGGGGGGCUGCUCCUAGUACGAGAGGACCGGAGUGGACGCAUCACUGGUGUUCGGGUUGUCAUGCCAAUGGCACUGCCCGGUAGCUAAAUGCGGAAGAGAUAAGUGCUGAAAGCAUCUAAGCACGAAACUUGCCCCGAGAUGAGUUCU